GCAGUAGCUCGAGGUGCAAUGGGCUCUAAAAAUACCUCUCUGCCUGAUUUUGCCAUUGAGAGAGAAGACAACAAUCAGAACACCGUUACCCAGAAUCCCCAGCUGUUGCC